rnacentral:rRNA from 1 species
UACGGAGGGGGCUAGCGUUGUUCGGAAUUACUGGGCGUAAAGCGCACGUAGGCGGCUUUGUAAGUUAGAGGUGAAAGCCCGGAGCUCAACUCCGGAAUUGCCUUUAAGACUGCAUCGCUCGAAUCAUGGAGAGGUGAGUGGAAACUCCGAGUGUAGAGGUGAAAUUCGUAGAUAUUCGGAAGAACACCAGUGGCGAAGGCGGCUCACUGGACGAUUGUUGACGCUGAGGUGCGAAAAGCGUGGGGAGCAAACAGG